rnacentral:lncRNA from 1 species
GGGGGAGGGAAGAAAGCUCAUUACACACACGGGGAAAUAGGGGUCCGAGAGAGAAACUAGCGCCCCUGUGAUCCUUGCUGUCCCCAUCCCCGUUCCCAGAAGCAAAACCUCUAAUUAGAACGGGGGCGGAGAAGAACCCUGCUGCGAAGGAGAGAUCUGUGGGGCAAUAUCGUCUCCAAAACUUAAUUUUGCUGUUCACUUUCUAUCCCCUCCGCCCCCGCCUUCCCCCCUCGUUUCCCCAUCACCACCCUCAUCCAGCUAACAUUCAGAAUCCCAAACCGUAAAACAUCCCUGGAAACACACACCGGAGUGGAGAGGAUUCCGACUCAGAGACUGCGCAAAGCGACACGGAAACCCAGGCAGGCUGAAGCCUCGAAGUAUUCAGCCAAUGGAGAUGGGAUACCUACAGCCAUUUGGCUUUGAUUCCCUCCAUGCCUCUUGGUGCUUCCAUGCAUACUUCCCCUGGGAUGCUCUUCUUUUGGUUUCAAAAGCUGCUUACAACGUGAGAGUUAGCAAUAAAUGAACAACUGAAUGGAAAUGAAGACCUCAGAGUUGUUUUCCCCAUGGAGUCAAUGCCUUUGGGUAACCAGUGACUCUCUAUUCUUCCUGUGGCUUAUGGUAUGAUGGUAUAUUUUCAUUAUCUGCAAAGUACAGAAAAUAAUACCUUUCUCUGAUGUCAUGCAGAUUAAGUAAAAAGUGUUUCCGUA